rnacentral:rRNA from 1 species
UUUUAUGGAGAGUUUGAUCCUGGCUCAGGAUGAACGCUGGCGGCGUGCCUAAUACAUGCAAGUCGAGCGAACGGACGAGAAGCUUGCUUCUCUGAUGUUAGCGGCGGACGGGUGAGUAACACGUGGAUAACCUACCUAUAAGACUGGGAUAACUUCGGGAAACCGGAGCUAAUACCGGAUAAUAUUUCGAACCGCAUGGUUCAAAAGUGAAAGACGGUCUUGCUGUCACUUAUAGAUGGAUCCGCGCUGCAUUAGCUAGUUGGUAAGGUAACGGCUUACCAAGGCAACGAUGCAUAGCCGACCUGAGAGGGUGAUCGGCCACACUGGAACUGAGACACGGUCCAGACUCCUACGGGAGGCAGCAGUAGGGAAUCUUCCGCAAUGGGCGAAAGCCUGACGGAGCAACGCCGCGUGAGUGAUGAAGGUCUUCGGAUCGUAAAACUCUGUUAUUAGGGAAGAACAUAUGUGUAAGUAACUGUGCACAUCUUGACGGUACCUAAUCAGAAAGCCACGGCUAACUACGUGCCAGCAGCCGCGGUAAUACGUAGGUGGCAAGCGUUAUCCGGAAUUAUUGGGCGUAAAGCGCGCGUAGGCGGUUUUUUAAGUCUGAUGUGAAAGCCCACGGCUCAACCGUGGAGGGUCAUUGGAAACUGGAAAACUUGAGUGCAGAAGAGGAAAGUGGAAUUCCAUGUGUAGCGGUGAAAUGCGCAGAGAUAUGGAGGAACACCAGUGGCGAAGGCGACUUUCUGGUCUGUAACUGACGCUGAUGUGCGAAAGCGUGGGGAUCAAACAGGAUUAGAUACCCUGGUAGUCCACGCCGUAAACGAUGAGUGCUAAGUGUUAGGGGGUUUCCGCCCCUUAGUGCUGCAGCUAACGCAUUAAGCACUCCGCCUGGGGAGUACGACCGCAAGGUUGAAACUCAAAGGAAUUGACGGGGACCCGCACAAGCGGUGGAGCAUGUGGUUUAAUUCGAAGCAACGCGAAGAACCUUACCAAAUCUUGACAUCCUUUGACAACUCUAGAGAUAGAGCCUUCCCCUUCGGGGGACAAAGUGACAGGUGGUGCAUGGUUGUCGUCAGCUCGUGUCGUGAGAUGUUGGGUUAAGUCCCGCAACGAGCGCAACCCUUAAGCUUAGUUGCCAUCAUUAAGUUGGGCACUCUAAGUUGACUGCCGGUGACAAACCGGAGGAAGGUGGGGAUGACGUCAAAUCAUCAUGCCCCUUAUGAUUUGGGCUACACACGUGCUACAAUGGACAAUACAAAGGGCAGCGAAACCGCGAGGUCAAGCAAAUCCCAUAAAGUUGUUCUCAGUUCGGAUUGUAGUCUGCAACUCGACUACAUGAAGCUGGAAUCGCUAGUAAUCGUAGAUCAGCAUGCUACGGUGAAUACGUUCCCGGGUCUUGUACACACCGCCCGUCACACCACGAGAGUUUGUAACACCCGAAGCCGGUGGAGUAACCUUUUAGGAGCUAGCCGUCGAAGGUGGGACAAAUGAUUGGGGUGAAGUCGUAACAAGGUAGCCGUAUCGGAAGGUGCGGCUGGAUCACCUCCUUUCUAA